rnacentral:rRNA from 1 species
GACAGAGGGGGCAAGCGUUGCUCGGAAUUACUGGGCGUAAAGGGCGCGUAGGCGGGAUGGCAAGUCGGUCGUGAAAUCCCUCGGCUCAACCGAGGAACGUCGAUCGAUACUGCUGUUCUUGAGGAUUGCAGAGGAGACUGGAAUUCCCGGUGUAGCGGUGAAAUGUGUAGAGAUCGGGAGGAACACCGGUGGCGAAGGCGGGUCUCUGGACAGUUCCUGACGCUGAGGCACGAAGGUCAGGGGAGCAAACGGG